GGGAAAGUGCGGCGUGCUAUACAUGCAGUCGAACGCUUUUUCUUUCCCGGAGCUUGCUCCACCGAAAGAAAAAGAGUGGCGAACGGGUGAGUAACACGUGGGUAACCUGCCCAUCAGAAGGGGAUAACACUUGGAAACAGGUGCUAAUACCGUAUAACACUAUUUUCCGCAUGGAAGAAAGUUGAAAGGCGCUUUUGCGUCACUGAUGGAUGGACCCGCGGUGCAUUAGCUAGUUGGUGAGGUAACGGCUCACCAAGGCAACGAUGCAUAGCCGACCUGAGAGGGUGAUCGGCCACACUGGGACUGAGACACGGCCCAGACUCCUACGGGAGGCAGCAGUAGGGAAUCUUCGGCAAUGGACGAAAGUCUGACCGAGCAACGCCGCGUGAGUGAAGAAGGUUUUCGGAUCGUAAAACUCUGUUGUUAGAGAAGAACAAGGAUGAGAGUAGAACGUUCAUCCCUUGACGGUAUCUAACCAGAAAGCCACGGCUAACUACGUGCCAGCAGCCGCGGUAAUACGUAGGUGGCAAGCGUUGUCCGGAUUUAUUGGGCGUAAAGCGAGCGCAGGCGGUUUCUUAAGUCUGAUGUGAAAGCCCCCGGCUCAACCGGGGAGGGUCAUUGGAAACUGGGAGACUUGAGUGCAGAAGAGGAGAGUGGAAUUCCAUGUGUAGCGGUGAAAUGCGUAGAUAUAUGGAGGAACACCAGUGGCGAAGGCGGCUCUCUGGUCUGUAACUGACGCUGAGGCUCGAAAGCGUGGGGAGCGAACAGGAUUAGAUACCCUGGUAGUCCACGCCGUAAACGAUGAGUGCUAAGUGUUGGAGGGUUUCCGCCCUUCAGUGCUGCAGCAAACGCAUUAAGCACUCCGCCUGGGGAGUACGACCGCAAGGUUGAAACUCAAAGGAAUUGACGGGGGCCCGCACAAGCGGUGGAGCAUGUGGUUUAAUUCGAAGCAACGCGAAGAACCUUACCAGGUCUUGACAUCCUUUGACCACUCUAGAGAUAGAGCUUCCCCUUCGGGGGCAAAGUGACAGGUGGGUGCAUGGUUGUCGUCAGCUCGUGUCGUGGAAAUGUUGGGGUUAAGUCCCGCAACGAGCGCAACCCUUAAUUGUUAGUUGCCAUCAUUCAGUUUGGGCACUCUAACCGAGACUGCCGGUGACAAACCGGAAGGAAAGGUGGGGGAUA
rnacentral:rRNA from 1 species